CCUAUUGUUCUGUCAAUAGUAGUCUAAAGAGGCGUGCUUUACCAAGUCAUGGUUUAGUGCGAAGCCCUCUUGACAAUGCAGUCCUUUACAGAAAUAUCCAAUGUAUAGGCUGUUAGGCUGACUGAUAUGAGUAACAUAUGUGAAUCG
rfam:Human gut metagenome DNA, contig sequence: F2-Y_000146.